GCAGAGCACGAAGAGCAGCGAGACGAUCAUGUGGCAAUAAUCCAUAGCAGGCGGCGGAGGGCGGAUGGAAGAAGUGAGAGGAAACAGGCCUCGUAUCAAGGAGCAGAGUCAGCGUGGAACCUGGACACUUGAGGAGUGGCUGCGGCAGUGCCAUCACAGGUUUCCAUUUCCUUGCAUAUAAGGAUUGAGCAAACCUGGGACAAAGGAUGAGGUGGUGUCACAGAUGGAUGGACAUCUGAGAAGGGUCAUCUCACGAGUUCAGCCAGAAGGAGGACAUGCUCAGCAGGAGGAGGGGCUCUUCGUCCCUCACUGCAAUUGGCAGGCCCAAAGGGUUAUGCAGUUCUAAAAGAGGAAGAAAAUAAGCCUGUAAAAAAGAAAAGAAAAUUAUAGCUGGGAGAGUUUGUUGAAGAGGAACGCACAGAAAGGAAGUUGGACAGCAGCUGCUGUCAGUGUCUGAUGCUGCAAGAGCCGAAUGCAGAGGAGGAGGACAGCAAUGCCUGAUCCGACCCAAUACAGGCAAGGCUCAGUGCUUAAAGGGGUAGUCCCAAGUCCUCCACUGAUGCAGUUGGUGCAGGUCUUGCUGAAGCUCACAGAUGUCAUUUUUCCUCAGAUGAGGAUCUAGCCUGAGGAGUUCCCAACUGCAAGGGAGAACUAAGUGAAACCACAGGGGCUUUUACCACCACCAGAUCCUUUCAAGCUGAACCAGCUGGAAGGGCACUGAAAGGAAUGAGUUAAGCACCUCUCCAACUACCGGGCUGCAUCAAGAAGGCACAACAUAAGCAAUGGUGCUUCUAAUGUGGCAGACAGGGUACGCAGUGACAAGAGAUGGCUGACAACUACAGCUCCUGCAGAGGUGGAGGUGACAGCUGGAUACUGGAGUGAGACGUGGGAUCCACAUCCUAUUGCUGCCUCAGCUCACCGUGAUUUAUUCGGUGCACACACCUGGACUUAUAAUCCUAUUUCUAUCCUCCCUUUUCUUCUCCUACAGCCUGUUACUGACCAAGGCUUGCAACUCCUUUCCUAGAACCUCCUAGAACGAGUAGUCUGAAAGUGCAAUUGCGAUCUCUCUCUCUCGUUUUAGGCAUUUUCAUCACACACGUACUGGUGCAACCUUACUUAGUUUAUACAGUCCUAACUCUCAAAAAUUCUCUAGAGCAGGCACAAAACUGAAAAACAGAAAAAAAUGUUUUGGAAAUCUGCUGGUAGAAAAUGUAUUGGCAAAGGGAGAAUAUGAUUAACUGGCUAUGCAGUGCCGACCUGUCUAAAUGAGAAGAUGGGUGUGAGAAAGAAGCCAACAUCUUUCUCAGAACUGACACCUCACAAGAAAUCCUGAUAAACUGGUAUGGGUGCUUUCGAAGGAACGUACAACAGCCUUCCUGAGCUGUGUUGACUCCUUGGCUUGAUUGCAAGAACUGGGAUCCACAGCCAUUCACAAUAGGAACGGACUGUAGAUUAACCACUGGAGACACAAGGCUGAUGCUUCUUUUGGUCUGGGAAAGGAAAAGAAAAUCUGGAAAGGAAUUACUGCCUUGUACUACUUAUGUGCCUUCUUUUUUUUGAAAAAUGUAUUAAUGUAGACAAUUAUUAAAGCUAUAUAA